rnacentral:tRNA from 1 species
GGGCCGGUGGUCUAAUGGCAUGACGCAUCCCUUGCACGGAUGAGGCUGAGAGUUCGAGUCUCUCCCGGUCCA